GCUGGGCAUGGUGGUGCAUGCCUGUAUUCCCAGUCUCUAGGAGGCUGAGGUGGGAGGAUCACCAAUUCAAGGCCAGCCUCAGCAACUUAUCGAGUCCCUAAGAAACUUUGUGAGACCCUGUCUCAA
rnacentral:sRNA from 1 species